ACGAACGCUGGCGGCGUGCCUAAUACAUGCAAGUCGAGCGGACUAAUUAAGAGCUUGCUCUUAUGAGGUUAGCGGCGGACGGGUGAGUAACACGUGGGCAACCUGCCCUGUAGACUGGGAUAACAUCGAGAAAUCGGUGCUAAUACCGGAUAAUUGUUGGAACUGCAUAGUUCUAACUUAAAAGAUGGCUCCGGCUAUCACUAUAGGAUGGGCCCGCGGCGCAUUAGCUAGUUGGUAAGGUAAUGGCUUACCAAGGCGACGAUGCGUAGCCGACCUGAGAGGGUGAUCGGCCACACUGGGACUGAGACACGGCCCAGACUCCUACGGGAGGCAGCAGUAGGGAAUCUUCCGCAAUGGACGAAAGUCUGACGGAGCAACGCCGCGUGAGUGAUGAAGGUUUUCGGAUCGUAAAGCUCUGUUGUUAGGGAAGAACAAGUGCCGUUCGAAUAGGGCGGCACCUUGACGGCACCUAACCAGAAAGCCACGGCUAACUACGUG
rnacentral:rRNA from 1 species